CUUGAGUUGUAUGCAGUCUUUUCAAUAUUUUCUUCGAAAAAGGAAAUAGGGAAAUAAAAAAUGGAGGGAAAUUCAAUUAUUUUGGAAAGAGGGAAACUCAAAGAAAGAGAGGGAACUCUCAUCGAUCCGAAGCUGAAACUCCCAUCGGUACAAAGUUGAGGAAUUUGGGGAUUUGAAUGAUCCGUUCUCCAGUAUUUGUAUCGAUUCAAAGUAAUGUCAUGCCUCAAAUCAUAGAUAAUUCGUAGAAUUUGGGACGAACUUGCAUUUGUUGUUUGUUACCGGUGGACAAGUUGCAUCCCUGACUAAUCCCUUAUCUCCCGCCGACUGCCGGCCAUCAGGAUAGGUGUAGAAGCUGCAUAGUGGAGAUAACUAAAGGCAUCGGCAGAUUCAACAGCAAUUCUUAACCGAUUUUGCCAAGAAAGCCAAGGCAUUCCUCCAUUGGUAUGUAUAUGGUGGUGAAGGGUACCAUGAGAUAUGUAUUCAUAGACCAAUAAAGGGACUUCGGUCUCUAAGCAACAACCCAAUAGUUUCACCACAUUCCUGUGGUUAAUUUGAAAGGAUGAUGGAUUUGCUCAUCUAACAAUGACUACACAAGCCAGAGAAGGCGCAACUAGAAGCCACAUACCAGAAAAGAUAAAUAUUGGUCAGCUUUAGAUGAAAAGGGGUCAGUAUGCAAUCAAAUUGCACUUAUCAUCUGACUUGCUCAAAACAUUUUUUAUGAAGAUAGUUUAUGUGGAACAUGAAUAAGAUUGGAUAGUCUACAGAUGUACUGUUUGUAAAAUCUCCUUACGAUAGUGAUAUUUUGCUCAUCAGCCAUAGUUUUGUUUUUCUUAUUUGAAAAGAGUUUUUCAUGUAAAUCUUGGCAUUCAUUCUUCAUUCUUUAUUCCCCUUGUUUACCAUGACUAUUCCUGUGUUAUUUCCUGCAUUCUUCUGCUUGUUACUGCUACUUUCUUUUCAUCUUUACUUGAGCCGAGGGUCUAUUUGAAAGAACCUCUCCACCUUCAAAGUGGGGGUAAGGUCUGCGUACGCAACCCUCCCUAGACCCUACUUGUGGGAUUAUAUUGGGUUUUUUGUUGUUGUUGUUGUUGUUCCUGCAUCUCCAACACACAGACUACACGAGUAGAACUACCCAAAUGUGGAACUCCUAGCUAAUCAUUCUGCAUUGUAA